rnacentral:sRNA from 1 species
UAUUCUGCCCUACAGGGAAGGAUGAGAAGCUUCGACUAAGGUUCGACUCGAGCGAAGCGAGAGAACGUUGCCGCAGGCAACGGCCCGAAGGGCGA